AAUCCGACUGUUUAAUUAAAACAAAGCUUUGCGAUGGCCGUCAGCCGGUGUUGACGCAAUGUGAUUUCUGCCCAGUGCUCUGAAUGUCAAAGUGAAGAUAUUUAACCAAGCGUGGGUAAACGGCGGGAGUAACUAUGACUCUCUUAAUUCUAUUUGAAUAAGGUACCCUGUUAGUAAAUUGCUAAACGCCGGCAACCUGCUGUUGCUUUUGGCAAUCGAAAAGGAUACCUCUUCCAAAAAGAAACCGCUAAAGCGAAGCGAAAUU
rnacentral:ncRNA from 1 species